CCAGUUUGUCCUCCAUCUUUCAACAAUUAGCAGCUGAGUGUGCUAGUGUAUGCCUGUGAUCCCAUCACUGGGGAGGCUGAGGCAGGAGGAU
rnacentral:miRNA from 1 species